CGCCCAACAGCUAGCCCGAAACCCCAACCCAACAUCCCAACAUAAAUACCCUUAAAUACCCCUAAUUUAAAUACAAACAAACCAUUUUUCCCUCUUAGUACGGGCGACGGAAAAGAGACCCAGGAGCAAUAGAAAUAGUACCGCAAGGGAAAGCUGAAAAAGAAAUGAAAUAACUCAUUCAAGCUACAAAAAGCAGAGAUUUAAACUCGUACCUUUUGCAUCAUGAUUUAGCUAGUAUCACCCGAGCAAAGAGCCCUUUAGUUCGGCACCCCGAAACUGGACGAGCUACUCCAAGACAGCCUAUUAUAGGGCAAACCCGUCUCUGUGGCAAAAGAGUGGGAAGAGCUUUGAGUAGAGGUGACAGACCUACCGAGCCCAGUUAUAGCUGGUUACCUAGGAAAUGAAUAGUAGUUCAGCCCCCCGACUUCCCAUCCCACCCUAGCCUCACUCAACCUGGAUGCCGGUUAAACCGAGGGAGUUAUUCAAAGAAGGUACAGCUCCUUUGAAAUAAGAUACAACUUUAACAGGAGGCUAAAGAUCAUAAUUACCAAGGAAAAGUGUUUCAGUGGGCCUAAAAGCAGCCAUCUUAAUAGAAAGCGUUAAAGCUCAGACACAACCUCCAACCCCCGAUACUGAUAAAUAAUCUAAACCCCCUAAACCUACUAGGUCCUCUCAUGCAGCCAUGAAAGAGACCAUGCUAAUAUGAGUAAUAAGAAGGUAGCAGACCUUCUCCCCGCACACGCGUAUAUCGGAACGGACUCCCCACCGACCCACAACCGGCCCCAACCAAAGAGGGAAUUGAAUAAUAAACUAGAGUACUAGAAAGACACUCAAUUAUAAACCGUUAGCCCCACACCGGAGUGCACACAAGGAAAGACUAAAAGAAAAAGAAGGAACUCGGCAAACACAAGCCUCGCCUGUUUACCAAAAACAUCGCCUCUUGCAACAAUUAACAUAAGAGGUCCCGCCUGCCCUGUGACUAUAUGUUUAACGGCCGCGGUAUUUUGACCGUGCGAAGGUAGCGCAAUCACUUGUCUUUUAAAUGAAGACCCGUAUGAAUGGCACAACGAGGGCUUAGCUGUCUCCUUUUUCUAGUCAAUGAAAUUGAUCUCCCCGUGCAGAAGCGGGGAUUAUAACAUAAGACGAGAAGACCCUAUGGAGCUUCAGACACAAAGCAGUCCACUCCAAACACCCCAAAAUAAAGGGGCAAAUCAAGUGGCCCCCUGCUCAAAUGUCUUUGGUUGGGGCGACCGCGGGGAAAAAUAAAACCCCCACGUGGAAUGAGAGAACUUCUCCCACAACCAAGAGCCGCCACUCUAAGUAACAGAACCUCUGACCAGAAUGAUCCGGCAAAGCCGAUCAACGGACCGAGUUACCCUAGGGAUAACAGCGCAAUCCCCUUCCAGAGCCCAUAUCGACAAGGGGGUUUACGACCUCGAUGUUGGAUCAGGACAUCCUAAUGGUGCAGCCGCUAUUAAGGGUUCGUUUGUUCAACGAUUAAAGUCCUACGUGAUCUGAGUUCAGACCGGAGUAAUCCAGGUCAGUUUCUAUCUAUGAUAUGAUCUUUUCUAGUACGAAAGGACCGAAAAGAAGAGGCCCAUGCUUGAAGUAUGCCUCGCCCCCACCUAGUGAAGACAACUAAAGUAGGCAAGAGGGCAUGCCCCCCAGCCUGAGAACAUGGCAU
rnacentral:rRNA from 1 species